rnacentral:sRNA from 1 species
AAGUAGCGUCAGGGAUAGGAGCGGCAUCCUUUUGUGGAGCCUUGGCGGAACAAAAGAUAUAGCGGAUAGCGCGACCGUGC